rnacentral:rRNA from 1 species
ACGAACGCUGGCGGCGUGCUUAACCCCUGCAAGUCGAACGGUGAAGGGGUCUGCUUUUGUGGGCCCUGGAUGAGUGGCGAACGGGUGAGUAACACGUGAGUAACCUGCCCCCUUCUUCUGGAUAACCGCAUGAAAGUGUGGCUAAUACGGGAUAUUCUGGGUCUGUCGCAUGAUGGGUCUGGGAAAGAUUGCGCCUUUGGGUGUUUUUGGUGGGGGAUGGGCUCGCGGCCUAUCAGCUUGUUGGUGGGGUGAUGGCCUACCAAGGCGGUGACGGGUAGCCGGCCUGAGAGGGUGGACGGUCACACUGGGACUGAGACACGGCCCAGACUCCUACGGGAGGCAGCAGUGGGGAAUAUUGCACAAUGGGCGCAAGCCUGAUGCAGCGACGCCGCGUGAGGGAUGGAGGCCUUCGGGUUGUAAACCUCUUUCGCCAGUGAAGCAGGCCUGCUCCUUGUGGGUGGGUUGACGGUAGCUGGAUAAGAAGCGCCGGCUAACUACGUG